UACGGAGGGUCCAAGCGUUAUCCGGAAUCAUUGGGUUUAAAGGGUCCGUAGGCGGUUUAAUAAGUCAGUGGUGAAAGCCCAUCGCUCAACGGUGGAACGGCCAUUGAUACUGUUAAACUUGAAUUAUUAGGAAGUAACUAGAAUAUGUAGUGUAGCGGUGAAAUGCUUAGAGAUUACAUGGAAUACCAAUUGCGAAGGCAGGUUACUACUAAUGGAUUGACGCUGAUGGACGAAAGCGUGGGUAGCGAACAGG
rnacentral:rRNA from 1 species